rnacentral:lncRNA from 1 species
AAAAACAUACAAGCUAACAAACAACAACAGAGUUAACAAUACCUGUAUCAAUUUAGAUUUCUCCCCUUAUAUUAUUCUUCUCCCCCUUUUUGAUCAUAAGCAAAAAGAUUAAUGUAAAGAUCUCCCCCUUAAUAUGAUCUCCCCUUCAACAAAACAAUUGAUGCAUUUCAAAAUAGAAAUAAUAUUGAAAUUUCAUAACAUGAAUGAACAAAAUACUUCAUGGAAUAUAAGAAAAACAAAAAUUCAACUUUAAUUAAGAAAUACAAAUAGACUUUAAAAAAUAAGGGGUUGGAGGAUAAUCAGAGAGUCCAAGGUUUUGUGAUAUAUGAUGUUCUUAAUUGGACAACUGAGGGGAUAAGAGUAAUUAAUCCAUAAUAGAGAUAAAAACGAGAUAUCUAACAAACUCAUAUAUCUCCCCUUCAAAUAAAUUCCAGUUAUCACAAAAGAUUUCAAACAAAAAUUUCACCCCCUCUUUACAAAAAAUCAUCUAAACUGUAUGAUUUCUCUAAAAUAGGUAAUUCAAAAAGAAUUUAAGUUCUUUUAAAUCAUUAAGAUUACUCCCCCUAAAUGUAAUAAUCCCCUUUGAUAAAACAAACCAAAAAGAAAUUUUAAUUUUUUUUUUUACGCUGGGACUUAAGAUAAUCGAUUAUUACCUUAAAUAAUCGAUUAUUUCUGAUCCAAAUUGUCAAAAAUCAAAUUUCGAGGCCGAGAUAAUCGAUUAUCAUCCCUUGGUAAUCGAUUAUUUACGUUAAUUUUUGAAAAAUACAAAUUUGGGCCAAAUUUUCAACCUAAGAUACAUCUAACAUUCAUAAAUUAUUUCAAAGCUCUUAAAAAAAUACCAGGAUACCAUGGAGGUUUCUUUUCCUUUAGAGAAUUUCACCUGCAAAACAAAACAUUAGAGUUUUGGUCCCCAUAAUCUCAUUUGGGUCCUUUGAUGUUAGAGGCAAAUUACUUAAUAAUAGGAAUCCAAGCAUAUUUUCCAUUAGGAAUAUCAAAAUGUUUGAUUCUACAUUUGUUAGAAGUGUGCCCCUUUUUCAUACAAUAAAAACAUGUGACAACAUUUGGGUUCCUAUAACAAACAGUUCCUUUUUCAACCCAUACCCUACGAGUUCUUUUAAUUUGGUUCUCACUUUUAAAAACCCUUUU